rnacentral:rRNA from 1 species
GUGACCUGGCGGCAUGCUACCACAUGUUNGUCGAACGGCAGCACGGACUUCGGUCUGGUGGCGAGUGGCGAACGGGUAUACACAUCGGAACGUGCCCAGUCGUGGGGGAUAACGUAGCGAAAGCUACGCUAAUACCGCAUACGAUCUAAGGAUGAAAGCGGGGGACCGUAAGGCCUCGCGCGAUUGGAGCGGCCGAUGGCAGAUUAGGUAGUUGGUGGGGUAAAGGCUCACCAAGCCGACGAUCUGUAGCUNGUCUGAGAGGACGACCAGCCACACUGGGACUGAGACACGGCCCAGACUCCUACGGGAGGCAGCAGUGGGGAAUUUUGGACAAUGGGCGCAAGCCUGAUCCAGCCAUUCCGCGUGCAGGAUGAAGGCC